CAACCUCUGGCAAAAAUUGUGAAUGUUG
rfam:Owenweeksia hongkongensis DSM 17368, complete genome.